UGGGGAAUAUUGCACAAUGGGCGCAAGCCUGAUGCAGCCAUGCCGCGUGUAUGAAGAAGGCCUUCGGGUUGUAAAGUACUUUCAGCGGGGAUGAAGGGAGUAAAGUUAAUACCUUUGCUCAUUGACGUUACCCGCAGAAGAAGCACCGGCUAACUCCGUGCCAGCAGCCGCGGUAAUACGGAGGGUGCAAGCGUUAAUCGGAAUUACUGGGCGUAAAGCGCACGCGGGCGGUUUGUUAAGUCAGAUGUGAAAUCCCCGGGCUCAACCUGGGAACUGCAUCUGAUACUGGCAAGCUUGAGUCUCGUAGAGGGGGGUAGAAUUCCAGGUGUAGCGGUGAAAUGCGUAGAGAUCUGGAGGAAUACCGGUGGCGAAGGCGGCCCCCUGGACGAAGACUGACGCUCAGGUGCGAAAGCGUGGGGAGCAAACA
rnacentral:rRNA from 1 species